AUACAGGGGGUGCGAGCGUUAAUCGGAAUUACUGGGCGUAAAGAGUACGUAGGCGGUUGCUUAAGUCAGAUGUGAAAGCCCCGGGCUCAACCUGGGAACUGCAUUUGAAACUGAGUGACUAGAGUUUGAGAGAGGGGAGUAGAAUUCCGGGUGUAGCGGUGAAAUGCGUAGAGAUCCGGAGGAAUACCAGUGGCGAAGGCGGCUCCCUGGCUUAAAACUGACGCUGAGGUACGAAAGCGUGGGUAGCAAACAGGAUUAGAAACCCCAGUAGUCC
rnacentral:rRNA from 1 species